rnacentral:rRNA from 1 species
GCAGUAGGGAAUCUUCCGCAAUGGGCGAAAGCCUGACGGAGCAAUGCCGCGUGAGUGAUGAAGGUUUUCGGAUCGUAAAGCUCUGUUGCCAGGGAAGAACGCUUGGGAGAGUAACUGCUCUCAAGGUGACGGUACCUGAGAAGAAAGCCCCGGCUAACUACGUGCCAGCAGCCGCGGUAAUACGUAGGGGGCAAGCGUUGUCCGGAAUUAUUGGGCGUAAAGCGCGCGCAGGCGGUCAUUUAAGUCUGGUGUUUAAUCCCGGGGCUCAACCCCGGAUCGCACUGGAAACUGGGUGACUUGAGUGCAGAAGAGGAGAGUGGAAUUCCACGUGUAGCGGUGAAAUGCGUAGAUAUGUGGAGGAACACCAGUGGCGAAGGCGACUCUCUGGGCUGUAACUGACGCUGAGGCGCGAAAGCGUGGGGAGCAAACAGGAUUAGAUACCCGCCRGGUARUCAA